GCCCAUUGGCCGCGGGUGCUACCGGGGCGAGGGAGGAGGGCAGGCCGGGCCAGGCCUCCGGGGCUGAGCGCGGAGGCGAGCGGGUAGCGCCGCGUCCCAGCGCGAUCCCGCGGGGCGCCGGCUGCGCGGCCUGGCUCCCCCGGCCAUGCUGUCGCGGGGGGCGGCGAGCGGGCGGGCGCUGCGCGGGGCGGCGCGGGCUGGCGGGCAGCCGUCUCUCCGUGGCCUCCGCGCCUCUCCGCGGGCGCGGUCCGCCAUGCCCUCCUGGGUCAUAGACCGGUACGGCCGCAACGAUGUGCUGCGCUUCACCAGGAACAUGGUGUUCCCCAUCAUACACUUCCCGAACGAGGUCAUCAUUAAGGUUCAUGCUGCGAGCCUGAACCCCAUCGACCUUAGCAUGAGAAGUGGUUAUGGUGCAACUGCAUUAAAUAUGAAGCGGGAUCCCCUGAAAAUCAAAGGCUCAGAUACUGAAUUUCCAUUAACACUUGGUCGAGAUGUCUCUGGUGUUGUUAUGGAAUGUGGACUGAGUGUGUCUUGUUUCAAACCUGGAGAUGAGGUGUGGGCAGCAAUUCCUCCAUGGAAACAGGGCACUCUGUCAGAGUUUGUGGUAGCUAGUGGAAACGAGGUGUCUUUUAAGCCAAAGUGUCUCAGUCACACAGAAGCUGCUUCCUUACCGUAUGUAGGUCUCACAGCCUGGUCUGCAGUUAACCAAGUUGGAGGACUGAACCGAAAUAAUUGUAGUGGGAAAAGAGUAUUAAUAUUAGGAGCUUCAGGAGGAGUUGGUACGUUUGCUGUACAGCUAGUGAAGGCCUGGGGUGCUCACGUGACAGCAGUUUGUUCUCAUGAUGCCAGCACACUGAUGAAAAAGCUUGGAGCGGAUGAUGUGAUUGAUUACAAAUCUGGAAAUCUGGAAGAGCAACUUAAAACAUUACCCUUAUUUGAUUUCAUCCUAGAUAACGUUGGUGGAUCCACUGAGAAGUGGGCUCUAGAUCUCCUUAAGAAAUGGUCAGGAGCAACAUAUGUUACCUUAGUGACACCUUUCCUCAUCAAUAUGGACAGACUUGGAGUAGCCGAUGGCAUGUUACAAACAGGAGUCACUGUUGGUUCCAAAACUGUGAAGCAUCUUUUUAAAGGAGUCCAUUAUCGGUGGGCAUUUUUUAUGCCAAGUGGCCCAAGUUUGGAUGAAAUAGCAGAACUAGUUGAUUCUGGAAAGGACAUUGUAGCUUGCUUAUGCUCUUUAUGAAAGUGCUGUGUGAUUACAUCCCAAAGUGUCUGUGAGGAAGACUAAUGGAAAUUUUGCAUACUGUGGAGAGAUGGGGUUUGAAUAUGUAAAUUCACAUAUAUCACAAUGAGGUCUGGAAAAAUUUCAUCAUAUACCAGAUUCAACCAGUUAUUGAUCAAGUCUUCUCUUUUUCUGAAGUUCCAAAGGCAUUUCUGAAAUUGGAAGGAGGACACGCACGUGGAAAAACAG